rnacentral:misc_RNA from 1 species
GAUGAAGAACGUAGCGAAAUGCGAUAAGUAAUGCGAAUUGCAGAAUCCGUGAAUCAUCGAAUCUUUGAACGCACAUUGCGCCCGGCAGUACUCUGCCGGGCAUGCCUGUUCGAGCGUCAUUUCAACCCUCAAGCCCUGCUUGGUGUUGGGGUCCCACGGCCGCCGUGGGCCCUGAAAGGAAGUGGCGGGCUCGCUACAACUCCGAGCGUAGUAAUUCAUUAUCUCGCUUAGGGCGUUGGGCGGCGCUCCUGCCGUUAAAGAACCAUCUUUAACUCAAGGUUGACCUCGGAUCAGGUAGGAAUACCCGCUGAACUUAAGCAUAUCAAUAAGCGGAGGA